GAUGAACGCUGGCGGCGUGCCUAAUACAUGCAAGUCGAGCGAACAGAUGAGGAGCUUGCUCCUCUGACGUUAGCGGCGGACGGGUGAGUAACACGUGGAUAACCUACCUAUAAGACUGGGAUAACUUCGGGAAACCUGAUCUAAUACCGGAUAAUAUAUUGAACCGCAUGGUUCAAUAGUGAAAGACGGUUUUGCUGUCACUUAUAGAUGGAUCCACGCCGCAUUAGCUAGUUGGUAAGGUAACGGCUUACCAAGGCAACGAUGCGUAGCCGACCUGAGAGGGUGAUCGGCCACACUGGAACUGAGACACGGUCCAGACUCCUACGGGAGGCAGCAGUAGGGAAUCUUCCGCAAUGGGCGAAAGCCUGACGGAGCAACGCCGCGUGAGUGAUGAAGGUCUUCGGAUCGUAAAACUCUGUUAUUAGGGAAGAACAAAUGUGUAAGUAACUAUGCACGUCUUGACGGUACCUAAUCAGAAAGCCACGGCUAACUACGUG
rnacentral:rRNA from 1 species